UACGUAGGUGGCAAGCGUUGUCCGGAUUUACUGGGCGUAAAGGGCGUGCAGGCGGUCUGUUAAGUGAGGGGUGAAAGCUCCCGGCUCAACUGGGAGAGGUCCUUGCAUACUGGCGGACUUGAGGGGGGUAGAGGAAAGUGGAAUUCCCGGUGUAGUGGUGAUAUGCGUAGAUAUCGGGAGGAACACCAGUGGCGAAGGCGGCGACCUGGGCCAAUAUUGACGCUGAGGUGCGAAAGCGUGGGGAGCAAACAGG
rnacentral:rRNA from 1 species